CCCAUAAUCCCCUCCUCUGCGGCGGCUCUCGUCCGGCGGGAUGCCUGCAACACAGACAGAAGACAGAAAGAUCUGUACUGCCAGUUCCUAAAGUCAUCUUCUCUGUGUGAGGACUGCUGUCUGGAGCUGUGAGCCUCUCAUCUUAGCUAAUAUCAAAGUUUUCCACAAGUUCAUCAAACAACCGCAGUAAGAAUAUU